rnacentral:rRNA from 1 species
UACGGGGGGGGCAAGCGUUGUUCGGAAUUACUGGGCGUAAAGGGCUCGUAGGCGGCCAACUAAGUCGGAUGUGAAAUCCCCCAGGCUCAACCUGGGAACUGCAUCCGAUACUGGAUGGCUUGAAUUCGGGAGAGGGAUGCAGAAUUCCAGGUGUAGCGGUGAAAUGCGUAGAUAUCGAGAGGAACACCUGCGGCGAAGGCGGGUAGCUGGGCCGACACUGACGCUGAGGCGCGAAAGCCAGGGGAGCGAACGGG